rnacentral:rRNA from 1 species
AACCUGGUUGAUCCUGCCAGUAGUCAUAUGCUUGUCUCAAAGAUUAAGCCAUGCAUGUCUAAGUAUAAACUGCUUUAUACUGUGAAACUGCGAAUGGCUCAUUAAAUCAGUUAUAGUUUAUUUGAUGGUACCUACUUACUCGGAUACCCGUAGUAAUUCUAGAGCUAAUACGUGCGUACAUCCCGACUUCUGGAAGGGACGUAUUUAUUAGAUAAAAGGCCGACCGGGCUUGCCCGACUCGCGGUGACUCAUGAUAACUUCACGAAUCGCAUGGCCUCGCGCCGGCGAUGUUUCAUUCAAAUUUCUGCCCUAUCAACUUUUGACGGUAGGAUAGAGGCCUACCAUGGUGGUAACGGGUGACGGAGAAUUGGGGUUCGAUUCCGGAGAGGGAGCCUGAGAAACGGCUACCACAUCCAAGGAAGGCAGCAGGCGCGCAAAUUACCCAAUCCCCUGACACAGGGAGGUAGUGACAAUAAAUAACAAUACCGGGCCUUUGGUCUGGUAAUUGGAAUGAGUAC